CAGGGAUUGCCCCAGUAACGGCGAGUGAAGCGGCAACAGCUCAAAUUUGAAAUCUGGCCCCCAGGGCCCGAGUUGUAAUUUGCAGAGGAUGCUUUUGGCGCGGUGCCUUCCGAGUUCCCUGGAACGGGACGCCAUAGAGGGUGAGAGCCCCGUCUGGUCGGACACCAAGCCAGUGUAAAGCUCCUUCGACGAGUCGAGUAGUUUGGGAAUGCUGCUCUAAAUGGGAGGUAUAUGUCUUCUAAAGCUAAAUACCGGCCAGAGACCGAUAGCGCACAAGUAGAGUGAUCGAAAGAUGAAAAGCACUUUGAAAAGAGGGUUAAACAGUACGUGAAAUUGUUGAAAGGGAAGCGUUUGUGACCAGACUUGGGCCCGGUGAAUCAUCCAGCGUUCUCGCUGGUGCACUUUGCCGGGCUCAGGCCAGCAUCAGUUCGCCGCGGGGGAUAAAAGCUUCGGGAACGUGGCUCCCUCGGGAGUGUUAUAGCCCGUUGCACAAUACCCUGUGGUGGACUGAGGUUCGCGCUCCGCAAGGAUGCUGGCGUAAUGGUCAUCAGCGACCCGUCUUGAAACACGGACCAAGGAGUCGUCUUCGUAUGCGAGUGUUCGGGUGUCAAACCCCUACGCGUAAUGAAAGUGAACGCAGGUGAGAGCUUCGGCGCAUCAUCGACCGAUCCUGAUGUUCUCGGAUGGAUUUGAGUAAGAGCAUACGGGGCCGGACCCGAAAGAAGGUGAACUAUGCCUGUAUAGGGUGAAGCCAGAGGAAACUCUGGUGGAGGCUCGCAGCGGUUCUGACGUGCAAAUCGAUCGUCAAAUAUGGGCAUGGGGGCGAAAGACUAAU
rnacentral:rRNA from 1 species